AAGUCGUAACAAGGUUUCCGUAGGUGAACCUGCGGAAGGAUCAUUAACAAAUUCUUCAACACUGACGUCCCACCCAAUGUCUGUUUAAUCAGGUGAUUUUUUCAUGGAAACAUGAUGAAAUCAUCCUACUUGAACACAUUUGGUGGUGUACUCACUCACACACAUCUUGAUGGACAACACCUAGUGAUUCAUAUUACAAAAUGUAUAGACAACUUUUAACAAUGGAUCUCUUGGCUCUU
rnacentral:misc_RNA from 1 species